UGCUUAACACAUGCAAGUCGAGCGAGAAAGGCCUUCGGGCUGAGUACAGCGGCGAACGGGUGAGUAACGCGUAGGAAUCUGCCUUUCAGUGAGGAAUACCCUCGAGAAAUCGAGGUUAAUACUGCAUACGUCUAGAAAUAGAGAAAGAUGGCCUCUUGCUGUCGCUGAAAGAUGAGCCUGCGUACUAUUAGCUAGUUGGUAGGGUAAUGGCCUACCAAGGCAAUGAUGGUUAGCCGGCCCGAGAGGGUGUACGGCCACACUGGAACUUAGACACGGUCCAGACUCCUACGGGAGGCAGCAGUGAGGAAUAUUGCGCAAUGGGCGAAAGCCUGACGCAGCGACGCCGCGUGGAGGAUGAAGGUCUUCGGAUUGUAAGCUUC
rnacentral:rRNA from 1 species